rnacentral:tRNA from 1 species
GCUAUAGCUCAGUUGGUUAGAGCAUCGGCUUGUGAUGCCGAGGGUCGCGGGUUCGAAUCCCGUUAGC